rfam:Canis lupus familiaris chromosome 29, whole genome shotgun sequence.
GCCUGGUUGGCUCAGUGAUUGAGCGUCUGCCUUCAGCUCAGGUCAUGAUCCCGGGGUCUUGGGAUCGAGUCCCACAUAAGGCU